AGCUCACCCCGCCACGGGGAUUCGAACCGCCGACCAUCCAAUCAGCAAGUCCUAGGCACUGAGGUUUUACCCACAGCGCCACCCGCGUCCCUUCGUCUUUAUAUUAUCAUGUUGUAAAUAUAUUCAACACUUUUCUAACACCUGCUUUACUUAUUAGUGCGGGACUAUGCGUUUACAAGGGACGCGGGUGGCGCUGUGGGUUAAACCACAGAGCCUAGGACUUGCCGAUCAGAAGGUUGGCGGUUUGAAUCCCCGCGAUGGGGUGAGCU